AUGGACCACGCGUGCACUCCUGUUCUGAGCGCGCCGCACGCACUCGCCUGACGACCGCUCGCUACGUUUUGUUGGCC
rnacentral:sRNA from 1 species